rnacentral:misc_RNA from 1 species
AUUACUAAAGGUCAUCGCCUGCUUCUAUGUACUUGAGUCCUGAUUUCGUAAUUAAGUAGUAUAGAAAGAGAAAGAGAUUCGUCUUGCUUAUUUGCUUGAUCAUUGAAUUGAGUGCGUGGUAAAUGCUUUUGACUGAACCUCUCAUUGCUCUAUCUCCGAUAGNCUCCGAUAGCAUGCAGCCGAUAAUGAAGACAGAUAUAUAGAAAGUGUGCAGUGAGGGAUCUUUCUAGGUAGCCAGUCUUUACUUAACUCGGCCCAAGCAAUGCCCAAACAAUCCCAUGUCUUUCUUGGUUGGACCAAGCCAACCGGUGAUUUCCGUCUUCCUGAAUUGGGAGAGCAAGAAUUAGUCUCUCUUUUUUU